UGUUCUAGAAUCGGAAGUUGAUAUCCCCAUGCUUCCCGUGUUCAUGCUUAAUGCAUGCAGCAGCAGCAGCAGCUUUGCUGUGGAAGGGACUAAAUGAUCUAAUGCUAUCGUUAGACGCUUCCAUCACGCCAACUGGUUAUUUAGAUGAAACAUGAAAGGACUCAUUCUACUCAUUUUGGUAACAGCUAUGUUAGCUGAGGAGGACAGCCUGUGGUCUCCAGGAUUGGAUGAUGACCGCAAUUACGCGGAAAACAGAUACCUGAGAGAUCCGAGGGAUUUUGCCCGUGCCUUCAAUGACGGAAAUGAUGCAGACAUUUAUUCUGACACUCGAGUGAAAAAGAGAUAAACCAACUUACACAAAAGUAAAUAAAAAAUAAAAUGAUCUCAGAAAAUAUUUUUCAAAUGGCUGGAAAUUUCAGUGAUGUAUUUGACAGCAUGUUUAUUAACACUUUGGUUUUGAGAUUGAAAAAAAAUCAUUUUAUUUUAUAUUUUUGCAAAUAAAUCAAAAUAAACAUAUGUAAAUUGUAUCAGAUGAUAUGAGCAUUAAAAAAAUAGAUAUUUGUUUGAAAGAAGA